rnacentral:lncRNA from 1 species
CAAGGGGGCCUUGCUGUGUUUGGGUCCCAUCCUCAGGGCUUUUCCCUUCUCUGCUUGCUCUAUCAGGGCCCUCCCAGAAUCAGCUCAUUGGCAAAUCACCCACAACGAACUCCACGUGGCUGUGAAGACCCUUCAGAAGGUGGCCUGGAUAAAUGGCCAGAAGGAACAGGGGAGAAAGCUCACUCGAGAAGUAUGACUGAGGGAAAUCCUCACUGCAUCCACAACCAUGUUCCCAAGAAUAUAGCCUCAGAGAACAUUGCUCAUUUUAGGAUUUCCACCCAAUCUAUUUCAAAAAGUAAUGGCACAUGGGCUGUGAAGGUAAAAUACGCACCUUACACAGAAGGAAAGAUUUGGCUGCCCUAACACUGACAGUGUGCUUGGAAAAGGACACUUGGGAGCUAUGUUUUUAUGUCUUUACCUCUACACAUUGGAACUCUACCCAACUGAAAUCAGGCAGAAAGGAAUGAGUGUUGGUGUUAUAAAUUCAUGCUGUGGUGCAGUUUGCUACCUUUGUCUUCAUCAUUGGCAGCUAUAUCACUAUUCUGCAGCCUCUGUUGUUUGGAGUAGUGCCUAUUCAUUCUGCUAUUGCUCUCUCCUUCCUGAUUGAGACCCAUGGCCUCCCACUGCUGGAUACCAUGCAAGAGACAGAAAAGAGGUUGAAGAGGGCACAAUCUCUGAUGGGAAAUGCCAGUCAAGAUGUGCAGGAGAGACCAGCCUUGCUUAUCCCUGAAAUGCCACAAGCUGAGAGCACAGUUUAAUGCUUUCUUGUGGGCCCUCGACUCUACUUCCAAGGGACUCCAAUGUCUGGACCCAGCUGCAUUAUUUUUUCUUGUUCUGAAGUGAGAUCUACCUUCUCUAGAUUGAGAGUGCGCUCUCUGGCUGCUGAGAGGAUGGAACAGGGUGGCCUGCUAGAACUUCCCUGAAAUUUAGUACAUGAAAUAAAGUCUUGAUUGUUAAGCA